rnacentral:rRNA from 1 species
AGAGUUUGAUCCUGGCUCAGAUUGAACGCUGGCGGCAUGCCUUACACAUGCAAGUCGAACGGUAACGCGGGGCAACCUGGCGACGAGUGGCGAACGGGUGAGUAACGCAUCGGAACGUGCCCAGUAGUGGGGGAUAGCCCGGCGAAAGCCGGAUUAAUACCGCAUACGACCUACGGGUGAAAGCGGGGGACCGUAAGGCCUCGCGCUAUUGGAGCGGCCGAUGUCAGAUUAGGUAGUUGGUGGGGUAAAAGCCUACCAAGCCGACGAUCUGUAGCUGGUCUGAGAGGACGACCAGCCACACUGGGACUGAGACACGGCCCAGACUCCUACGGGAGGCAGCAGUGGGGAAUUUUGGACAAUGGGCGCAAGCCUGAUCCAGCCAUGCCGCGUGCGGGAUGAAGGCCUUCGGGUUGUAAACCGCUUUUGUCAGGGAAGAAACGCUCCGGGCCAAUACCCUGGGGUAAUGACGGUACCUGAAGAAUAAGCACCGGCUAACUACGUGCCAGCAGCCGCGGUAAUACGUAGGGUGCAAGCGUUAAUCGGAAUUACUGGGCGUAAAGCGUGCGCAGGCG